CAAGAUGUUGCAUAUUUCAGACCAAUUAUAUUAGGCGAUCUUCAUGGAACUUACACACCUUACUGAAGGAAUGCCAAUCUACAAGGGUGGUAAUUUUGAUUGAAAUUGGUCGUUCAUCAACCUCAGCCACAGGUUGCUGAACUUUGACCUUGAUUUUCUACAGGCUGCGAUGCUGAAACUUGGACCACUUGCAGCCCUCUUUAAAUGUAGCACGUAAAUAAAUUUUCA